CUCUAAAAUGCUGGGGACGAUUUGAUAACAGCUAUCAAUCUACCGAGAUACCACAAGCUUUGGCUGCUCUGCAAGUGAAUAAUUCUCAAGACUCUGCUUGGUUCCCUGAUACAGGGGCAACAGCUCAUAUCACUGAUACACCAGGACCUUCAAACACAGAAGAUUUUGGCAUCGGGGAGUAAGCAAGGAGGUUUAUAUGCUAUAUCUACUCAAUUUGAAGAUCCCCAAAUAAGGGCAUACUUCUCCUCCAGGUUCAGAUGUGCUACAGAAGAUGUGUGGCACCAAAGACUUGGACAUCCCCAAGGGAAGAUUACCAAAUUUCUCACGAAUAAUGAUUUGAUUGUUGUUUCUAAGAAUUCUGAACACUUGUGCUCUAGUUGUCAGCUUAGUAAGAGCACCAAGCUCCCCUUUAUCAGUUCUUUUACUCCUUGUACUUCUCCUCUUGAACGGAUUCAUUGUGAUUUGUGGGGGAAAGCUCCUGUUCAAAGUGUUCAUCAUUUUCAAUACUA